AACUCCUUCAGAAAACCUCUCUGGCUUAAACUCUUUUGCAUCAUCACCCCACAGUUCCUUGUCAUGGUGAAUGAGCAGUGCUGGUAACCCGACUUGGACUCCAGCUGGUAAUGAGAAUUUCCCGAAUUGUGUUUUCUUACGUGUGGUUCGAGAAACCACAACUAAUGCUGGGUAUAAUCGUAGAACUUCAAGCAAAACCAUCGUUACCUGAGGAAUCAUACACAGGUGAGUUUAACUAAUAUCACAGAUCAUUCCAUUACGCAUUACAAAUACUUACUGCUUUUAGGUGAGUUAAACCAUCAAAGUCCGGCUUGUUCAUUCCAAAGACCUGCAAAACCUCUUCUCUUGCUUGGUCUUGCCAAUUCUGAUUUUGACAAAGCAAUACCAUUGUCCAAACCAAUAACACUGAAGUGGUCUCUUGCCCAGCAAAGUAGAAAAGCUUACAUUCCUCAAUCACAUCUUCAAUACUCAUACCAACAUUUUUGUUGUUCUUCCCAUGAUCCUGAAUGUCCUUCAUGUUGGACUCCAAAAGUGCACCCAAUAAGUCAUCCUUGGUGGCUUCACCUGCCUUAAUGGCUUGCUCUCUUUUAUUUAUAAUACCCUCGACUAAACCUCUUAUUUCUUCAUGAAUUUGUUUCAUCCUCUUGUUCAUCUUAGUUGGUACAAACCUACACAAUAAAACUGCUUCAAUCAGAAAGCAACCUUAAGGAAUUGUGAUGUAACAUCUCAAGGAAGUUUAAUUUUUACCUCCAUCCUGGAAUGUAAACUCUUUGUACGGUUUUCAUUGCAUAUACUGCUUGCUCUUUUAGGAGUUCAAAUAUUUUUUGUCCUUCUUGAUAGCUACUUCCAAAUGCUGUUCGAGAAAUCACAUCAGCUGUUAAAUUUUGAAGAGAAGGCCAGACAUCAAUCUCACAUGACGAACCCUCUUUGGACACAACAGUCUCCCAUUCUUUGAUCAUGUCAUUACAACUUUGGUAAAAUGCCGGUAACAUACGCUGUUUACACAAAACCACAGUUGAUCAUUACAAACAAAGAAGUAAGUUAACCCUUACUUUGAUUCUUUACAGUGUGUGCGCGCGCGCUGUGUAUAAUACCUUUACUUUUUCGGAAUGGAAUGUUGGGUUGAUAAUCCUUCUGUGUUUAGCCCAUUUCUCCCCUUCAUAGUUUGCAAGACCUGUUGAUAGCAACUUGAUAAGUGGGUUUGAUACUGGCUUUGGGAAAUCACUAGGUUUUGCAAACACAUCUUUCAGAUCUUCCGGAUUCAUAAUGUUCACCCGUGGUAGAGGGCCAACCCAUACAAAAGAGUUUUUACCUGAAAAAAGUUACAAGUUAUAACCCUCAAGUCAGCAUUAUUAUUAUAAGUUAAUAUACAUCUGUAAGUUUGGUCCUUUUUAAAUUUAGUUUUCUGACUUCGAAAGUUAAACUAAGUAAAACAGUAACUUUUAGACGUAUUCAAAGUUUCAAACAUAUGUAAAACAUAUCAAGUACGUAUGUAAUAUAUAUGAAACUGUCCAUCAAUCAUAUGUAUCUAAGUAUCUAACCACAACAUCUUGUGAAGAAUCGUCAAACAUAUGCACAAAUUAAUUACUCGUAAAGGAUAUGUAAAACAUAUGUAUAGGAAAUAACGUGCUAUGGAUGUUUGAGCUAGAUCCAAGUUUACAACGCCUCAUGGUUAACUCUAUAGCUAUUUAACCUUGUUAAUCACAAACAUAUGGACCUUAAUUUUUACUGUUAAUUAUGUAAAGUACGUACUUACCGUAAGUUUUAACAGUUUGAUCGAGAAGAGGUAUGACUCGAGGUGAUAUGUCAUGGGAGGUUGAGAGGUUCAUGGGUUUUGAUUUUGCUUCUUUCACCAUGAUAGCAUUCUCUUUCAUAUCUCCAUAAAAAAGCCUGUAAGCAUUGCCUUGGAAGCCUUGCUGCCUCAAACAUCUUUCGAGCUUCUUUGGCUUAAACCACACCCAAUCCAGAAGACUCCAUGCCCAUCGAACUAUUAUGCUCACAAAGACAAGGCUCAGGGCUACACUAGUAGCCACUGCUGCUUCCAUAUUUGACGUCUGUAUAUUUAGCGCUACAGCUAAUAAGCUUUUGAAACAAAACAGGGAGCGAAAGAGAACCUCUAAUCUAGCUAAUAACUGAGAGCGAGGUUAUUAGCUUCCUCAACUUUUUGCCUCUACCCUGAAAGUCUCAUAAAUAAUAGAAGUUGGAAAUCUAUGGAAAAACGACACUCGAUCAGAAAUUUCUCGUACAUGAAAAUAUCUGAAAUAAAUUUAUUUUUUUCUGAAAUAGUUAAUGGCAUGAUUUCUGUUUGUGGAUACGUAAAAAUUUGUUGUCAUUUGUUUGGAAUUUGGGAUUGAAUUUUGUCUUUGCCACGCAUAAUACUCCACAUCUCUGUGUAGUGUAAGCAUGAUCACAUGUAUAUGUGCAGGAGGAGGAGAUAAGAGAAUUAGCAAACAAGUGAUCGAUCUCUAUCUUCGUGGUGUUUGUGGUGCCAUGAAAAUAUAUCAUAUGUACGUGAUUUUAAGUGGUUUUCGCGUCUUUCC
rnacentral:lncRNA from 1 species